rnacentral:misc_RNA from 1 species
CUGGAAGCGCCGCAAGGUGCACCCAGAAACCCUUUGUGAACUUAUACCUACAUCGUUGCCUCGGCGCUGGCUGCCCCUCCCGCUCCGGGAGGGGGCCCGCCUCUGGUCGUAAGAACCCAGGGGAGGACAGCAGGCCCGCCGGCGGCCCAAUUAACUCUUGUAUUUACCGAGUAAAGUCUGAGUAAGCUUCUAAAUGAAUCAA